AAUAACCCACCAUUUUGCGUUUUUGGGUCAAAUAUUGUGUAAUCAUAUUUCCACACUUCAAAAACCUUAAGUAUUUUAUAACCUUGUUUAACUGCCAAGGCUACUUCAGGGAUCACCCAUGUGCCGGUAAUUUGUCUUUCACAUUCUUCGUGUAUACAUCUAAAGACAUUAUUAUUUUCUGCACAUUUUCUACAAAGUGGGAAAUAUAAUUUAUUGUCAUAUUUGUAAGGUAAAACGGAAACUGGUGGGGUUUGGUUUCUGAAUAUUGUUGGAUGCCCAAUGGGGUAUGCAUUAAUUUUUGCAUAAGUCCUAAAUACUUCUGUUCUUCCCCCAU